UUCCUACGGGGGGCAGCAGGCGCGAAACCUCUGCAAUGCGGGAAACCGUGACAGGGGGAUUCCAAGUGCUCAUGCAUUGCAUGGGCUGUUCUUUGGUCUAAGUAACCAGAGGAGUAAGGGCUGGGCAAGACCGGUGCCAGCCGCCGCGGUAAUACCGGCAGCUCGAGUGGUAGCCGCGAUUAUUGGGCCUAAAACGUUCGUAGCCGGAUAAGUAAGUCUUUGGUUAAAUCCUACGACUUAACCGUGGGAAAUCUAGAGAUACUGCUUGUCUUGAGACCGGGAGAGGUUGGAGGUACUCCCAGGGUAGGGGUGAAAUCCUGUAAUCCUGGGGGGACCACCUGUGGCGAAGGCGUCCAACUGGAACGGCUCUGACGGUGAGGGACGAAACCUAGGGGAGCGAGCCGGAUUAGAUACCCGAGUAGUC
rnacentral:rRNA from 1 species